GGGACUGUAGUUCAAUUGGUUAGAGCGCCGCCCUGUCACGGCGGAGGUCGCGGGUUCGAGUCCCGUCAGUCCCG
rnacentral:tRNA from 2 species